AGUGGGGAAUUUUGGACAAUGGGCGCAAGCCUGAUCCAGCCAUGCCGCGUGCGGGAAGAAGGCCUUCGGGUUGUAAACCGCUUUUGUCAGGGAAGAAACGCUUCGGGCUAAUACCCUGGAGUAAUGACGGUACCUGAAGAAUAAGCACCGGCUAACUACGUGCCAGCAGCCGCGGUAAUACGUAGGGUGCGAGCGUUAAUCGGAAUUACUGGGCGUAAAGCGUGCGCAGGCGGUUGUGCAAGACAGAUGUGAAAUCCCCGGGCUCAACCUGGGAACUGCAUUUGUGACUGCACGGCUAGAGUGCGGCAGAGGGGGAUGGAAUUCCGCGUGUAGCAGUGAAAUGCGUAGAUAUGCGGAGGAACACCGAUGGCGAAGGCAAUCCCCUGGGCCUGCACUGACGCUCAUGCACGAAAGCGUGGGGAGCAAA
rnacentral:rRNA from 1 species